GAUCCUGGCUCAGGAUGAACGCUAGCUACAGGCUUAACACAUGCAAGUCGAGGGGCAGCAUUGGAGUAGCAAUACUCAGAUGGCGACCGGCGCACGGGUGAGUAACACGUAUCCAACCUGCCGCUUACUCGGGGAUAGCCUUUCGAAAGAAAGAUUAAUACCCGAUGGUAUAAAGAGUUCGCAUGUUCUCUUUAUUAAAGAAUUUCGGUAAGCGAUGGGGAUGCGUUCCAUUAGAUAGUUGGCGGGGUAACGGCCCACCAAGUCUACGAUGGAUAGGGGUUCUGAGAGGAAGGUCCCCCACAUUGGAACUGAGACACGGUCCAAACUCCUACGGGAGGCAGCAGUGAGGAAUAUUGGUCAAUGGACGAGAGUCUGAACCAGCCAAAGUAGCGUGAAGGAUGACUGCCCUAUGGGUUGUAAACUUCUUUUAUAAGGGAAUAAAGUGAGGGACGUGUCCCUUUUUGUAUGUACCUUAUGAAUAAGGAUCGGCUAACUCCGUGCCAGCCGCGGC
rnacentral:rRNA from 1 species